rnacentral:tRNA from 1 species
GCGGCCGUGGUCUAGCCUGGUCAGGACUUGGGCCCUCCAAGCCCACGACGCGGGUUCGAAUCCCGCCGGCCGCA